GAUGAACGCUGGCGGCGUGCCUAAUACAUGCAAGUCGAGCGAACAGACGAGGAGCUUGCUUCUCUGACGCUAGCGGCGGACGGGUGAGUAACACGUGGAUAACCUACCUAUAAGACUGGGAUAACUUCGGGAAACCGGAGCUAAUACCGGAUAAUAUAUUGAACCGCAUGGUUCAAUAGUGAAAGACGGUUUUGCUGUCACUUAUAGAUGGAUCCGCGCCGCAUUAGCUAGUUGGUAAGGUAACGGCUUACCAAGGCAACGAUGCGUAGCCGACCUGAGAGGGUGAUCGGCCACACUGGAACUGAGACACGGUCCAGACUCCUACGGGAGGCAGCAGUAGGGAAUCUUCCGCAAUGGGCGAAAGCCUGACGGAGCAACGCCGCGUGAGUGAUGAAGGUCUUCGGAUCGUAAAACUCUGUUAUUAGGGAAGAACAAAUGUGUAAGUAACUAUGCACGUCUUGACGGUACCUAAUCAGAAAGCCACGGCUAACUACGUG
rnacentral:rRNA from 1 species